rnacentral:rRNA from 1 species
GAUGAACGCUGGCGGCGUGCUUAACACAUGCAAGUCGAACGGAAAGGCUCCUGCUUGCAGGGGUACUCGAGUGGCGAACGGGUGAGUAGCACGUGGGUGAUCUGCCCUGCACUUCGGGAUAAGCCUGGGAAACUGGGUCUAAUACCGGAUAGGACGAUGGUUUGGAUGCCAUUGUGGAAAGUUUUUCGGUGUGGGAUGAGCUCGCGGCCUAUCAGCUUGUUGGUGGGGUAAUGGCCUACCAAGGCGUCGACGGGUAGCCGGCCUGAGAGGGUGUACGGCCACAUUGGGACUGAGAUACGGCCCAGACUCCUACGGGGGGCAGCAGUGGGGAAUAAUGCACAAUGGGCGCAAGCCUGAUGCAGCGACGCCGCGUGGGGGAUGACGGCCUUCGGGUUGUAAACUCCUUUCGUCAGGGACGAAGCGAAAGUGACGGUACCUGGAUAAGAAGCACCGGCUAACUACGUG